GCCCAUUAUCUUUAUGCCUUUAAUUUGCUAUUGCUGUGCUACAAAAACUCAAGGUUGCAUUUCUCUAUUUCAAUUGAGUGUUCAAAUCUGUCAGU